rnacentral:rRNA from 1 species
UACGCAGGGGGCUAGCGUUGUUCGGAAUUACUGGGCGUAAAGCGCACGUAGGCGGACAUUUAAGUCAGGGGUGAAAUCCCAGAGCUCAACUCUGGAACUGCCUUUGAUACUGGGUGUCUUGAGUAUGGAAGAGGUGAGUGGAAUUCCGAGUGUAGAGGUGAAAUUCGUAGAUAUUCGGAGGAACACCAGUGGCGAAGGCGGCUCACUGGUCCAUUACUGACGCUGAGGUGCGAAAGCGUGGGGAGCAAACAGG